rnacentral:rRNA from 1 species
GACGAACGCUGGCGGCGUGCUUAACACAUGCAAGUCGAACGGAAAGGCCCUGCUUUUGUGGGGUGCUAGUGUGGCUAGCGGGUGAGUAACACGUGCGUAACCUGCCUUCGCCUCUGGGAUAACUUCAGGAAACUGAGGCUAAUACCUGAUACGAGCUCCUGCUGCAUGGUGGGGGUUGGAAAGUUUCGGCGGUUGGGGAUGGUCGCGGGUCUUAUCAGCUUGUUGGUGGGGUAGUGGCUUAACAUGGCUUUGACGGGUCGCAGGACUGGGAUGGUGACCGGGCACAGUGGGACUGAGGUGGGGGCCGUGGUGAUACGGGAGGCAGGGGUGGGGAACUGUGCACAAAGGGCGGAAGCCGUAUGGAGCACCGCCGCGUGGUAGAUGUCUGUUUUUGGGGUGGAAACGGCUUUUGCCGGAUACGUAGCAGGAUUGACGGUAAUGGGUAAGGAAGCACCGGCUAACUACGUG